GUAUAUAUAAUGCUUUGAAUGAGUGGUCAACAACUUACAUUUACUGAUGUGGGGCAAAGCUCUCCCUCUGAUAGAUACCAUGUGCUGUUGGUGGCAACUUGAAGUAAUAUAGUGAUUGAGUCUGCAAGAGAUGACAUCACAGGAAGGUUACUGAUGAAGCAUGAAAACAUCUCAUCCUUUGCUGCUUUAUUGUGACCAUGGGCACAAGACUUCUCUGCUGUUCAGUGCUUUGUCUCCUGGGGGCAGGCUCUUUCGAUGCCAAAGUUACCCAGACUCCAAGACAUCUGGUCAAAGAGAAAGGACAGAAAGCAAAGAUGAGCUGUGGUCCAGAAAGGGGGCACACUGCUAUUUACUGGUAUCAGCAGAACCAGGACAAGGAAAUUAAAUUUUUGGUUUACUUUCGUAGUCAAGAAAUGCUUGACCAAAUAGAUGGGUUCAAGGAGCGAUUCUCAGCAGAAUGUCCUUCAGACUCACCAUGCAGCCUGGAAAUCAAGACCUCUGAAGCAGGAGACUCAGCAGUGUACCUCUGUGCCAGCAGUCAGUCCACAGUGUGGAAAUGUGCAUUUCCCUUAGUGCAGAAAUCCCCACUGGACAAAACUCAGGAAGCAGGUGAUGCCUGUGUUCAAAGGAAGUAA